rnacentral:rRNA from 1 species
GAUGAACGCUGGCGGCGUGCCUAAUACAUGCAAGUCGAGCGAACAGACGAGGAGCUUGCUCCUCUGACGUUAGCGGCGGACGGGUGAGUAACACGUGGAUAACCUACCUAUAAGACUGGGAUAACUUCGGGAAACCGGAGCUAAUACCGGAUAAUAUAUUGAACCGCAUGGUUCAAUAGUGAAAGACGGUUUUGCUGUCACUUAUAGAUGGAUCCGCGCCGCAUUAGCUAGUUGGUAAGGUAACGGCUUACCAAGGCAACGAGGCGUAGCCGACCUGAGAGGGUGAUCGGCCGCCCUGGAGCUGGGACACGGUCCAGACUCCUACGGGAGGCAGCAGUAGGGAAUCUUCCGCAAUGGGCGAAAGCCUGACGGAGCAACGCCGCGUGAGUGAUGAAGGUCUUCCGAUCGUAAAACUCUGUUAUUAGGGAAGAACAAAUGUGUAAGUAACUAUGCACGUCUUGACGGUACCUAAUCAGAAAGCCACGGCUAACUACGUG